rnacentral:lncRNA from 1 species
AGAUGGGAGUGUUUUCAUAGGGUUUUCGGGUUUGUGUGAAUGUCGACUUAAAUGAGCCUGUGUUUGUUCAUUUACUGUCGAUCGAUGAAGAGAUGUCUUCGUUGAUCGACAGACGUUAUGUUUUCCGAAGAUUACUUUUUUUAUCCUAAAUAUUCUAAAACUAGAAAUGGGUUGCCUCCCAUUCAGCGCUUAUUUUAAGUGUUUAGCUUGACUCAGUAGUCGAUCUUUCUAAUUAUCGGGAGGGGGGUCUAAGUAUAUAGGCCUGCUAAUUGG